rnacentral:rRNA from 1 species
GGGUUGUGAGGUUAAGCGACUAAGCGUACACGGUGGAUGCCCUGGCAGUCAGAGGCGAUGAAGGACGUGCUAAUCUGCGAUAAGCGUCGGUAAGGUGAUAUGAACCGUUAUAACCGGCGAUUUCCGAAUGGGGAAACCCAGUGUGAUUCGUCACACUAUCAUUAACUGAAUCCAUAGGUUAAUGAGGCGAACCGGGGGAACUGAAACAUCUAAGUACCCCGAGGAAAAGAAAUCAACCGAGAUUCCCCCAGUAGCGGCGAGCGAACGGGGAGCAGCCCAGAGCCUGAAUCAGUGUGUGUGUUAGUGGAAGCGUCUGGAAAGGCGCGCGAUACAGGGUGACAGCCCCGUACACAAAAAUGCACAUACUGUGAGCUCGAUGAGUAGGGCGGGACACGUGGUAUCCUGUCUGAAUAUGGGGGGACCAUCCUCCAAGGCUAAAUACUCCUGACUGACCGAUAGUGAACCAGUACCGUGAGGGAAAGGCGAAAAGAACCCCGGCGAGGGGAGUGAAAAAGAACCUGAAACCGUGUACGUACAAGCAGUGGGAGCACGCUUAGGCGUGUGACUGCGUACCUUUUGUAUAAUGGGUCAGCGACUUAUAUUCUGUAGCAAGGUUAACCGAAUAGGGGAGCCGAAGGGAAACCGAGUCUUAACUGGGCGUUAAGUUGCAGGGUAUAGACCCGAAACCCGGUGAUCUAGCCAUGGGCAGGUUGAAGGUUGGGUAACACUAACUGGAGGACCGAACCGACUAAUGUUGAAAAAUUAGCGGAUGACUUGUGGCUGGGGGUGAAAGGCCAAUCAAACCGGGAGAUAGCUGGUUCUCCCCGAAAGCUAUUUAGGUAGCGCCUCGUGAAUUCAUCUCCGGGGGUAGAGCACUGUUUCGGCAAGGGGGUCAUCCCGACUUACCAACCCGAUGCAAACUGCGAAUACCGGAGAAUGUUAUCACGGGAGACACACGGCGGGUGCUAACGUCCGUCGUGAAGAGGGAAACAACCCAGACCGCCAGCUAAGGUCCCAAAGUCAUGGUUAAGUGGGAAACGAUGUGGGAAGGCCCAGACAGCCAGGAUGUUGGCUUAGAAGCAGCCAUCAUUUAAAGAAAGCGUAAUAGCUCACUGGUCGAGUCGGCCUGCGCGGAAGAUGUAACGGGGCUAAACCAUGCACCGAAGCUGCGGCAGCGACGCUUAUGCGUUGUUGGGUAGGGGAGCGUUCUGUAAGCCUGCGAAGGUGUGCUGUGAGGCAUGCUGGAGGUAUCAGAAGUGCGAAUGCUGACAUAAGUAACGAUAAAGCGGGUGAAAAGCCCGCUCGCCGGAAGACCAAGGGUUCCUGUCCAACGUUAAUCGGGGCAGGGUGAGUCGACCCCUAAGGCGAGGCCGAAAGGCGUAGUCGAUGGGAAACAGGUUAAUAUUCCUGUACUUGGUGUUACUGCGAAGGGGGGACGGAGAAGGCUAUGUUGGCCGGGCGACGGUUGUCCCGGUUUAAGCGUGUAGGCUGGUUUUCCAGGCAAAUCCGGAAAAUCAAGGCUGAGGCGUGAUGACGAGGCACUACGGUGCUGAAGCAACAAAUGCCCUGCUUCCAGGAAAAGCCUCUAAGCAUCAGGUAACAUCAAAUCGUACCCCAAACCGACACAGGUGGUCAGGUAGAGAAUACCAAGGCGCUUGAGAGAACUCGGGUGAAGGAACUAGGCAAAAUGGUGCCGUAACUUCGGGAGAAGGCACGCUGAUAUGUAGGUGAAGCGACUUGCUCGUGGAGCUGAAAUCAGUCGAAGAUACCAGCUGGCUGCAACUGUUUAUUAAAAACACAGCACUGUGCAAACACGAAAGUGGACGUAUACGGUGUGACGCCUGCCCGGUGCCGGAAGGUUAAUUGAUGGGGUCAGCGCAAGCGAAGCUCUUGAUCGAAGCCCCGGUAAACGGCGGCCGUAACUAUAACGGUCCUAAGGUAGCGAAAUUCCUUGUCGGGUAAGUUCCGACCUGCACGAAUGGCGUAAUGAUGGCCAGGCUGUCUCCACCCGAGACUCAGUGAAAUUGAACUCGCUGUGAAGAUGCAGUGUACCCGCGGCAAGACGGAAAGACCCCGUGAACCUUUACUAUAGCUUGACACUGAACAUUGAGCCUUGAUGUGUAGGAUAGGUGGGAGGCUUUGAAGUGUGGACGCCAGUCUGCAUGGAGCCGACCUUGAAAUACCACCCUUUAAUGUUUGAUGUUCUAACGUUGACCCGUAAUCCGGGUUGCGGACAGUGUCUGGUGGGUAGUUUGACUGGGGCGGUCUCCUCCUAAAGAGUAACGGAGGAGCACGAAGGUUGGCUAAUCCUGGUCGGACAUCAGGAGGUUAGUGCAAUGGCAUAAGCCAGCUUGACUGCGAGCGUGACGGCGCGAGCAGGUGCGAAAGCAGGUCAUAGUGAUCCGGUGGUUCUGAAUGGAAGGGCCAUCGCUCAACGGAUAAAAGGUACUCCGGGGAUAACAGGCUGAUACCGCCCAAGAGUUCAUAUCGACGGCGGUGUUUGGCACCUCGAUGUCGGCUCAUCACAUCCUGGGGCUGAAGUAGGUCCCAAGGGUAUGGCUGUUCGCCAUUUAAAGUGGUACGCGAGCUGGGUUUAGAACGUCGUGAGACAGUUCGGUCCCUAUCUGCCGUGGGCGCUGGAGAACUGAGGGGGGCUGCUCCUAGUACGAGAGGACCGGAGUGGACGCAUCACUGGUGUUCGGGUUGUCAUGCCAAUGGCACUGCCCGGUAGCUAAAUGCGGAAGAGAUAAGUGCUGAAAGCAUCUAAGCACGAAACUUGCCCCGAGAUGAGUUCUCCCUGACUCCUUGAGAGUCCUGAAGGAACGUUGAAGACGACGACGUUGAUAGGCCGGGUGUGUAAGCGCAGCGAUGCGUUGAGCUAACCGGUACUAAUGAACCGUGAGGCUUAACCUUACAACGCCGAAGGUGUUU